AACGGUCUAUACCUGCGGUACCUGCGGAAGGAUCAUUACCGAGUUAUCAACUCCCAAACCCCUGUGAACAUACCCGAACGUUGCCUCGGCGGGACCGCCCCGGCGCCCCUAGCGGCCCGGAACCAGGCGCCCGCCGGAGGACCCAAACUCUUGCUUUAAACAGUGGCAUACUCUCUGAGUCUCACAAACAAAAAAUAAAUCAAAACUUUUAACAACGGAUCUCUAGAUCGGAAGAGCACA
rnacentral:misc_RNA from 1 species